rnacentral:lncRNA from 1 species
CAGGUUCUUAUUUAUCGCUUUAUUUAUUUAUUUUCCGCAUCGCUUUUAUUUUAUUUACUUUCUGUCUACGCUUUUAUUUUAUUUAUUUUUCGCACUCGCUUUAAUUUUAUUUAUUUUCCGCACUCGCUUUACUUUAUUUAUUUUCCGCACUCUCUUUUAUUUUAUUUAUUUUCCACACUCACUUUACUUUAUUUAUUUUCUGCACUCGCUUUACUCUAUUUAUUUUCCGCACUCGCUUUACUUUAUUUAUUUUCCGCGCUCGCUUUACUUUAUUUAUUUUAUGCACUUUACUCGCUCUUUAUGCCUCACAUUCUAAAACAAACUUUUCAUCAUGAUCA